CAAUUGUUUUUUUUUUCAAAAUAUUAUUCUUAUUAUCAUAGUCAGAUUAUAUAAAAACAUUAAAAAAAAUUAAAGCAAAUUCAUUUUCAUGAAAGGCAUUAAUGGUCGAACAAAUAUAUAAUCUCUAAAUGGGAUAAUAAAAUAGAUAGUAAUUUUUUUUUGAAAACAACAAAUAGUAAAAAUUAAUACUAUUUUAAAUUAAAAUAAAUUAAAAUUUCAAAAGUUUGUUAAACUUUAAAUAAUUUUUAUAUUAUUUGCUCACCCGCCCAUAGGUAUUAUUUGGUACUUAAAUAAAAUAAAAUUUCAAAUGCUGUUCAUGGUACUUAACAAUAUAAAUAUGUACUCUAAAUAAAACAUCAACUUUAUUUUAUGUUUAAAUUUCAAUUAAAUUAACUUUGUUACGACCAUCUGUUUUUUAUUCUACUUUUAUUGCAUCAAUUAGUUACAAUCACUUAUGAUAUUCCACUUUGAAUUAAACAACUUUAAAAUAAAUUAAUACCCUAUAGUCGAUAAUCACUAUCAAAUGGAUCGAAAAAAAAUAUGAUUCUCUUUCAACAUAGUUUCAUUUUUAUAUUUUGAAUAUAUUCUAUUUACUAAGAUCAUAAAAUAAAUUGUAAAUUUAUGUAAAAAUAAAAUAUAUGAACCCGGCGCGUAGCGCCGGAAUGCCACUAGUAUCUAUAUAUAUAUAAAGAUGUUUGCUUCACUCCUAUGCGUCUACGUCGGAUCCAUCAUGGAAAGUCGUUUAUUGUGGGCGUGACACGUGUCUGUCGGUAUAAAACGCAUCACUUCGUUUAUCUGAAAAAUCUGAUGGGCUUAUAUUCAUAUUAUAUGUAUAUUGAUUAUGGACCUUUAUAUUUACCUUUUUUUGGGCUUCGCAUACCCCCAUAGAAAGUUGAACAACGUAUUCUCCUCACAACCUGCGUUUUAUCGUCUUAUUCAAUCUGACUUCGUCAUCUACGGUUAAUCUUAAAACGAAACCAUCACCAUUGAGAACCAUCGCAACCAUCACAGUUAAUGGAGUUUCAUUGAGAACCAUCGCAACUUGCGAGUGUCAUCAUCUCGAGGGGAGAAUUAAAGAAUCCUAAUGAGUGGAACAUUGAAAAAUUAUGUUCACACUUGAAAAAGAACUUGAUAAAUUAAAUUCAAGUAAGAUGAUCCCCAUGAUCGGGUAUAAACAUGCAGUUGUGCAUGUAAUAAAGAAAUAUACAAUCCAGAGGGAUAAGUAUAUGGAUAAUUAGAAAUAUGCUCGCAAGUUUGCUAGAAACAUAUGAUAAGCUGAUGGAAUGAGAUAUGUGAAAUGGAUUACAAUGAAAAGUAGGAUAAUCUAUUUACAAAAUGUCUGCUAGACAUUUUGCAUGAAAUAAUAAAAUCUCAUCUUCCAGCUGAAAAGGCUCCAAUAAGAAGUGUCCUAAAAGGAUGAUAUAUAAAUGUGUCCUAAAAGGAUGAUAUACGAGUCUAUGGCACGCUUGAGACGUGAUAGACCAUUUUGGUUCCAAAAAAUCCUCGAAAAAGAGCAAAUAUAUGAAUAGAGGAUGAAUUUCAUGAUGAGACCGUUGAUAUGGUUAAUAUUACAGUCAUGUACCUCGGUAAAUCAUUGAUGAUGAUAAAGAGAUCUCGAUUAACCAUAUCAGUACGAAUAAAAAUAUGGAACCAAAGAGAAAAUAGAUUGUCGACGAUAAAAUAAAAAAGCGCUAUAUAAAUAAGGAUUACGAAUCUACCUCUAUGUAUGACGGUAGAGUGAAUUGAUUGGCCAUCAAUUCGGUAUAAAGCUCGUUAGAAAAACGAGAGAUUUUUGGACCAAAAGUCCAAGGUAUAGUUCUCCAAAGAAUGAAAUGAAAGAUGACCUUGAGGUAUGAAAAACGGCUUGUUCCGAGGUCACUGGAGAAAAUUUAAAAUAGAUGCAAUAUAUUGAAAUGUGUGGCAGGACAAAAAUGACUUGAGUUGCAUCUUGAUAUUUAAUAGUCCCUGAAGAGUUAAAGAUGCUCUCGGGAAUGUAUCAAACUCUGGAAGAGUUAGAACAAACCGUGUAUAAGGUAUCUUGAACUGGUAACUGGUGAUAUGUUUACGGCACGAUUUGCCGAUUACCAUUUUAAUGAGGAUGAAUUUUCAGCAUUAGGGGGAGGAAUUUGAAAAAUUCCUAAAUAGAUUACAUGGUGUACAUAGUAGUUGUUACACCUUGAUCCCCCUACGGAUCAAAGAGAGCUGGAAAUUCAGAAAAUUGUGCAUUUGCAAACCAGAUACCAGAUGUGUUCACAGAUACGACAUGAUAUACUCGCUGAAAUCUUCGAUCAAGAGUUGAUGUUCCUAAAGAACAAAGUGAUGGUAACAAAAUAAAUGAACCUAGGGUUCAGUUAAAGAGGGGAGACUAGCGGGUUCUCGAGAUAAAAUCCCCAAAAGAAAUUAGCUGAGAAAAGUUGCAAGGUUCCUGAAGAACCUGAUACUGAAAAAUAUCUGAAAGAAGACAUAAGUGGAAAGGUUCCAGAAGAACCUGAUAUUAUAAGAUGUCUGAAAUAAUGCAUAAGUGGAAAGGUUCCAGAAGAACUUGAUACUGAAAAGUGUCUGAAAGAAGGCAUAUAUGAAAAAGGUCAAGAUGAACCAAAUAAAGAUGAUCCAGAUGCGACAUGAUAUACUCCCUGAAAAAAAAAAAAAAAAAAGAUGAUCCAGAUGACGAAAAGGAAACAGAAAAGUAUGAGAUUUCCAUCAACUACACCCUUGAUGAAAAGUUAUAAGAUAAAAGAUGUUGAUAGAAAAUUCUCCUUUUCUGUCCAAAGAGAUCGAUCAUAAAA